GAUCCUGGCUCAGGAUGAACGCUGGCAGCGUGCUUAACACAUGCAAGUCGAGCGAAGCACUUAGGAAAGAUUCUUCGGAUGAUUUCCUAUUUGACUGAGCGGCGGACGGGUGAGUAACGCGUGGGUAACCUGCCUCAUACAGGGGGAUAACAGUUAGAAAUGACUGCUAAUACCGCAUAAGACCACAGCACCGCAUGGUGCAGGGGUAAAAACGUACCGGUGGUAUGAGAUGGACCCGCCG
rnacentral:rRNA from 1 species